rnacentral:tRNA from 1 species
UCCCUGGUGGCUCAGCUGGUAAAGAAUCCACCUGCAAUGUGGGAAACCUGGGUUCAAUUCCUGGGUUGGGAA